rnacentral:rRNA from 1 species
CACGCCGUAAACGAUGAGUGCUAGGUGUCGGGGGUCGACAGACCUUCGGUGCCGAAGUAAACACAUUAAGCACUCCACCUGGGGAGUACGAUCGCAAGAUUGAAACUCAAAGGAAUUGACGGGGGCCCGCACAAGCAGUGGAGCAUGUGGUUUAAUUCGAAGCAACGCGAAGAACCUUACCAAGUCUUGACAUCCCUCUGACAGAUCCGUAAUGGGAUAAUCCCUUCGGGGCAGAGGAGACAGGUGG